rnacentral:rRNA from 1 species
GAAAACUACAAACGCAAGUUUAAAACUCAAGAGACCUGGCGGCGUUUUAGGUACCCUAGAGGAGCCUGUCCUAUAACCGAUAAUCCCCGUUAAACCUUACCUUUUUUGCCUUAGUCUAUAUACCGCCGUCAUAGUUCACCCUUCCAAAGGCCUCAAUAGUGGGCAAAAAUGAUUAAACCCAGAACAUCAGGUCGAGGUACAGCCUACAAAAAGCGAAGAGAUGGGCUACAUUUCCUACAUAGGGCCCCCGGACAAUGCUUUGAAACAAGAAUAUUAAAGAAGGAUUUAGUAGUAAGUAAAAAAUAGAGAGUUUUACUGAAAACUUACCCUUAACGCGCACACACCGCCCGUCACUCCCCCCUAAUAUCUAAAUUAAAAUAAAUAAUUAAAUCACCCUAUAAAGGAGGGACAAGUCGUAACAUGGUAAGUGUACUGGAAAGUGCACUUGGACAGAC